CCGCACACAUGUUCUGGAGUAGAGCCAGCCCAGGGAGGCUCACAACCAGGGAAAGGAUGCCAGCAAACAACUUAAUAUUUCAAACAACAGCCACAAUUGUUGAAGAGUCAUUUGAUUGGAGUUUGAAAAGAAUGCCAGUAUCCAGUUGCCCUUGACAUUUGUGGAGGAAGUGUAGGCAAUGGGGAAAACACCAGACUCCCCUACCAGUCUAGGCUUUGCCGUUUGAAAAACUAUAGUCAAGGGACUUGAUCUCUGAGUCGCCAUCUAUAAAAUGGGGACAUCUUCUGCCUUGUUAUACACACUACAUGGAAACAAGUAUGAGGCAUGUUUCAUAAAUAGACUUUGUUCUAUUUAA